rnacentral:rRNA from 1 species
UACAGAGGUCCCAAGCGUUGUUCGGAUUCAUUGGGCGUAAAGGGUGCGUAGGCGGUGCCGCAAGUCAGAUGUGAAAUCUCGGGGCUUAACCCCGAAACUGCAUUUGAUACUGCGGUGCUCGAGGACUGGAGAGGAGACUGGAAUUCACGGUGUAGCAGUGAAAUGCGUAGAUAUCGUGAGGAAGGCCAGUGGCGAAGGCAGCUCGCUGGGACGUUACUGACGCUGAGACGCGAAAGCGUGGGGAGCAAACAGG